rnacentral:rRNA from 1 species
AGAGUUUGAUCAUGGCUCAGGACGAACGCUGGCGGCGCGCCUAACACAUGCAAGUCGAACGAGCGAGAGAGAGCUUGCUUUCUCGAGCGAGUGGCGAACGGGUGAGUAACGCGUGAGGAACCUGCCUCAAAGAGGGGGACAACAGUUGGAAACGACUGCUAAUACCGCAUAAGCCCACGGCUCGGCAUCGAGCAGAGGGAAAAGGAGCAAUCCGCUUUGAGAUGGCCUCGCGUCCGAUUAGCUAGUUGGUGAGGUAACGGCCCACCAAGGCGACGAUCGGUAGCCGGACUGAGAGGUUGAACGGCCACAUUGGGACUGAGACACGGCCCAGACUCCUACGGGAGGCAGCAGUGGGGAAUAUUGCACAAUGGGGGAAACCCUGAUGCAGCGACGCCGCGUGGAGGAAGAAGGUCUUCGGAUUGUAAACUCCUGUUGUUGGGGAAGAUAAUGACGGUACCCAACAAGGAAGUGACGGCUAACUACGUGCCAGCAGCCGCGGUAAAACGUAGGUCACAAGCGUUGUCCGGAAUUACUGGGUGUAAAGGGAGCGCAGGCGGGAAGACAAGUUGGAAGUGAAAUCUAUGGGCUCAACCCAUAAACUGCUUUCAAAACUGUUUUUCUUGAGUAGUGCAGAGGUAGGCGGAAUUCCCGGUGUAGCGGUGGAAUGCGUAGAUAUCGGGAGGAACACCAGUGGCGAAGGCGGCCUACUGGGCACCAACUGACGCUGAGGCCCGAAAGUGUGGGUAGCAAACAGGAUUAGAUACCCUGGUAGUCCACACCGUAAACGAUGAUUACUAGGUGUUGGAGGAUUGACCCCUUCAGUGCCGCAGUUAACACAAUAAGUAAUCCACCUGGGGAGUACGACCGCAAGGUUGAAACUCAAAGGAAUUGACGGGGGCCCGCACAAGCAGUGGAGUAUGUGGUUUAAUUCGACGCAGCGCGAAGAACCUUACCAAGUCUUGACAUCCCUUGACGAUGCUGGAAACAGUGUUUCUCUUCGGAGCAAGGAGACAGGUGGUGCAUGGUUGUCGUCAGCUCGUGUCGUGAGAUGUUGGGUUAAGUCCCGCAACGAGCGCAACCCUUAUGGUCAGUUACUACGCAAGAGGACUCUGGCCAGACUGCCGUUGACAAAACGGAGGAAGGUGGGGAUGACGUCAAAUCAUCAUGCCCUUUAUGACUUGGGCUACACACGUACUACAAUGGCGUUAAACAAAGAGAAGCAAGACCGCGAGGUGGAGCAAAACUCAGAAACAACGUCCCAGUUCGGACUGCAGGCUGCAACCCGCCUGCACGAAGUCGGAAUUGCUAGUAAUCGUGGAUCAGCAUGCCACGGUGAAUACGUUCCCGGGCCUUGUACACACCGCCCGUCACACCAUGAGAGCCGGGGGGACCCGAAGUCGGUAGUCUAACCG